rnacentral:rRNA from 1 species
GAUCUGGUUCAGGACGAACGCUGGCGGCGUGCUUAACACAUGCAAGUUGAACGGUAUGACAUGGAAGCUUGCUGAAGUGUCAUAUAGUAGCGGACGGGUGAGUAAUGCAUGAGAAGCUGCCAUUGGGAGGGGGACAACAGUUGGAAACGGCUGCUAAUACCCCGUAUGCCGGAAGGUGAAAGGGAGCGAUCCGCCCGAUGAGGUGCUCAUGUCCUAUCAGCUGGUUGGUGGGGUAACGGCCUACCAAGGCGACGACGGGUAGCCGGCCUGAGAGGGUGAACGGCCACACUGGAACUGAGAUACGGUCCAGACUCCUACGGGAGGCAGCAGUGGGGAAUAUUGGGCCAAUGGGGGCAACCCUGACCCAGCGACGCCGCGUGGGGGAAGACGGCCUUCGGGUUGUAAACCUCUUUUGUACGGGAAGAAGGAAGUGACGGUACUGUACGAAUAAGUCCCGGCUAACUACGUGCCAGCAGCCGC